CACACCUAUUGAUAGCUAGAGAAGAUUAUGAAUGCUAAUAGGAGCAGAACCGAGAGAUAAAUCAAAGACUAAAGGCCUGAGUUCAAUUGAUCUCAAAUCAUUGAAAUCAGAUCAGAAGCUGAUUCAGUACUAGAUCUACAAUCAACAACACAACAGUUUCAUCAUACUGUGAACGAUUCUUAGUGAAUGCUGCAUACACUUCACCACCAACAGCCCAGUCUGGAUCAGGGUCAACCAG